rnacentral:tRNA from 1 species
GACCCCGUCGUCUAGUGGUCUAGGACUCUGCCCUUUCACGGCGGCAACACGGGUUCGAGUCCCGUCGGGGUCACCA